rnacentral:rRNA from 1 species
GAUGAACGCUGGCGGCGUGCCUAAUACAUGCAAGUCGAGCGAACAGAUAAGGAGCUUGCUCCUUUGACGUUAGCGGCGGACGGGUGAGUAACACGUGGGUAACCUACCUAUAAGACUGGGAUAACUUCGGGAAACCGGAGCUAAUACCGGAUAACAUUUGGAACCGCAUGGUUCUAAAGUGAAAGAUGGUUUUGCUAUCACUUAUAGAUGGACCCGCGCCGUAUUAGCUAGUUGGUAAGGUAACGGCUUACCAAGGCAACGAUGCGUAGCCGACCUGAGAGGGUGAGCGGCCACACUGGAACUGAGACACGGUCCAGACUCCUACGGGAGGCAGCAGUAGGGAAUCUUCCGCAAUGGGCGAAAGCCUGACGGAGCAACGCCGCGUGAGUGAUGAAGGGUUUCGGCUCGUAAAACUCUGUUAUUAGGGAAGAACAAAUGUGUAAGUAACUGUGCACGUCUUGACGGUACCUAAUCAGAAAGCCACGGCUAACUACGUG